rnacentral:rRNA from 1 species
ACUACGGGAGGCAGCAGUGAGGAAUAUUGGUCAAUGGGCGGGAGCCUGAACCAGCCAAGCCGCGUGAGGGAAGAAGGUACAGCGUAUCGUAAACCUCUUUUGUCAGGGAACAAAGGCGGGGACUAGUCCCCGGAUGAGGGUACCUGAAGAAAAAGCAUCGGCUAACUCCGUGCCAGCAGCCGCGGUAAUACGGAGGAUGCGAGCGUUAUCCGGAUGUAUUGGGCGGAAAGGGUGCGCAGGCGGUUGAGUAAGACAGAUGUGAAAUCCCCGAGCUAAAAUCGGGAAGGGCAUAUGUGACUGCUCGAUGAGAGUGUGUCAGAGGGAGGUGGAAUUCCACGUGUAGCAGUGAAAUGCGUAGAUAUGUGGAAGAACACCGAUGGCGAAGGCAGCCUCCUGGGACAUAACUGACGCUCAGGCACGAAAGCGUGGGGAGCAAACAGGAUUAGAUACCCGAGUAGUC